rnacentral:rRNA from 1 species
GUCUACGGCCAUGCCACCCUGAGCAAGCCCCAUCCCAUCUGAUCUUGGAAGCUAAGUAGAGUUGGGCCUGUUUAGUACUUGGAUGGGAGACCACCUAGUAAGACCAGGUGCUGCAGGUG